rnacentral:rRNA from 1 species
AACGCUAGCUACAGGCUUAACACAUGCAAGUCGAGGGGCAUCAGGGUAGCAAUACCGCUGGCGACCGGCGCACGGGUGAGUAACACGUAUCCAACCUACCGUUAACUCGGGGAUAGCCUUUCGAAAGAAAGAUUAAUACCCGAUGGUAUAAAGAGUUCGCAUGUUCUCUUUAUUAAAGAAUUUCGGUAAGCGAUGGGGAUGCGUUCCAUUAGAUUGUUGGCGGGGUAACGGCCCACCAAGUCUACGAUGGAUAGGGGUUCUGAGAGGAAGGUCCCCCACAUUGGAACUGAGACACGGUCCAAACUCCUACGGGAGGCAGCAGUGAGGAAUAUUGGUCAAUGGACGCGAGUCUGAACCAGCCAAGUAGCGUGAAGGAUGACUGCCCUAUGGGUUGUAAACUUCUUUUAUAAGGGAAUAAAGUGAGGGACGUGUCCCUUUUUGUAUGUACCUUAUGAAUAAGGAUCGGCUAACUCCGUGCCAGCAGCCGCGGUAAUACGGAGGAUCCGAGCGUUAUCCGGAUUUAUUGGGUUUAAAGGGAGCGUAGGUUGACAUAUAAGUCAGCUGUGAAAGUUUACGGCUCAACCGUGAAAUUGCAGUUGAUACUGUAUGUCUUGAGUGUACAAGAGGUGGGCGGAAUUCGUGGUGUAGCGGUGAAAUGCUUAGAUAUCACGAAGAACUCCGAUUG